GCUCACCCCAAAGGCCCACACUAGGCUGCGCCCCAGACUGGCUGGGGUGUCCUGGUCGAUUUUUCGCCCAAAGUGCAUCUGUACCCCGUUCCUACCCCAGAAUCGUGGGCUAUAGCAUACCAAUUUGACUAAAAAAUGGUCCGUUCGGGCCAUUGCGCUCGUUUGACCACCCAAAUAGCCCCGCCUACCCCAGAGGCCCACAAUAGGCCGCUCCCCAGCCUUCUUCGGCGCCCUGGU
rnacentral:lncRNA from 1 species